AUCGGAGAAAGGCAUCCUUCAUCUGGUUUACUGUUUCCUUGAGACAGCUGGUCUCUGGGCUUGGUCGGCUGACAGCUUUGAUAGGAUUAUUGAGCACAGCUUUUCAUGCAAAAGAAACCUGGAGACCGGGGCAGUCUGCCCUUGGUUGGUCCAUCCAGGGGGCUGGGGUUGACAGGAGGCUCCUCUCAGCAGACGAGGGUCCGGUGAGCCUGACCCAGAGCCCCCGCAGCUGCUCCUGGGUGCAGCCAACGUGCUGGGCUUGGAGUAAAUGCUUAACUACAGAGACAGCAGCGAGGGUCUCAGGCACCCUUCCCUCUGUGUCUCCAUCCUUCCUGUGGUUCCAGCCCAGCCUCGACUCCCUGUUGGGGCCAGCCAUCUUGCCCCUUCUCCACCAAAGGACCAGCAAACUCACCACAACUGGCACAUCCCAAGGAGAGCUCAUGGAUAGGACCACAGUGUCUGCCACCGGAAUCCUUUCUCCAUCAAGAAAUGACUCCAAGUUCUUAAGAAAUGGGACACCUCUUAAGGUAAUGCUAAAAAUUCC
rnacentral:lncRNA from 1 species